rnacentral:rRNA from 1 species
UACGUAGGGUGCGAGCGUUACUCGGAAUUACUGGGCGUAAAGCGUGCGCAGGCGGUUUUGUAAGCCAGAUGUGAAAGCCCCGGGCUUAACCUGGGAAUGGCAUUUGGGACUGCAAGGCUAGAGUGUGGCAGAGGAGACUGGAAUUCCUGGUGUAGCAGUGAAAUGCGUAGAUAUCAGGAGGAAUACCGAUGGCGAAGGCAGGUCUCUGGGUUAACACUGACGCUCAUGCACGAAAGCGUGGGGAGCAAACAGG